UUCUCUCUUCCUCAUGCCCAAGAGUUGGGCGUCCUUGAUUUCCAUGCCCAAGGGUUGGGUGCCUUCUUCCUUCUAUGUGCCAAGCUUCGCGGUGCUGAUUUAAGAGAAAAAAUUCUCUCAUCUUUUGCAAGAUUGCUUGCUGGUUUUUUGGUAAAGAAACUAUUAGAAAAUGGGUAGACAAACAUGCAUAGAUUUCAAAACUUUUUAAAGUAGCAGCAGAAAUAGAUC
rnacentral:lncRNA from 1 species